UACAGAGACUGCAAGCGUUAUUCGGAUUCACUGGGCGUAAAGGGUGCGCAGGCGGUUGUGUGUGUCAGGUGUGAAAGCCCGGGGCUUAACCCCGGAAUUGCGCCUGAAACUACAUGACUAGAGCAUUGGAGAGGGUAGCGGAAUUCACGGUGUAGCAGUGAAAUGCGUAGAUAUCGUGAGGAACACCAGAGGCGAAGGCGGCUACCUGGACAAUUGCUGACGCUCAGGCAACGAAAGCCGUGGGGGAGCAAAAGGG
rnacentral:rRNA from 1 species